UACGAAGGGGGCUAGCGUUGUUCGGAAUUACUGGGCGUAAAGCGCACGUAGGCGGCUUUGCAAGUCGGGUGUGAAAUCCCCGGGCUCAACCUGGGAACUGCAUCCGAGACUGCUUUGCUCGAGUAUGGGAGAGGGAAGUGGAAUUUCCGGUGUAGCGGUGAAAUGCGUAGAUAUCGGAAGGAACAUCAGUGGCGAAGGCGACUUCCUGGACCAAUACCGACGCUCAGGUGCGAAAGCGUGGGGAGCAAACAGG
rnacentral:rRNA from 1 species